AAGGGUAUAGCUCAGUGGUAGAGUGUGUGCUUACCAUGCAUGAGGUCCUGGGUUCAGUCUCCAGUAUCUACA
rnacentral:tRNA from 1 species